UGCGUAGGGGGCUAGCGUUGUCCGGAUUUAUUGGGCGUAAAGAGCGUGUAGGCGGCCAGGUAGGUCUGCUGUGAAAACUCGAGGCUCAACCUCGAGACGUCGGCGGAAACCAUCUGGCUAGAGUCCGGAAGAGGAGAGUGGAAUUCCUGGUGUAGCGGUGAAAUGCGCAGAUAUCAGGAAGAACACCCGUGGCGAAGGCGGCUCUCUGGGACGGUACUGACGCUGAGACGCGAAAGCGUGGGGAGCGAACAGG
rnacentral:rRNA from 1 species